UGAGGAAUAUUGGUCAACGGACGAGAGUCUGAACCAGCCAAGUAGCGUGAAGGAUGACUGCCCUAUGGGUUGUAAACUUCUUUUAUAUGGGAAUAAAGUUCAGUAUGUAUACUGUUUUGUAUGUACCAUAUGAAUAAGGAUCGGCUAACUCCGUGCCAGCAGCCGCGGUAAUACGGAGGAUCCGAGCGUUAUCCGGAUUUAUUGGGUUUAAAGGGAGCGUAGGCGGAAGCUUAAGUCAGUUGUGAAAGUUUGCGGCUUAACCGUAAAAUUGCAGUUGAUACUGGGUUUCUUGAGUGCAGCAGAGGUAGGCGGAAUUCGUGGUGUAGCGGUGAAAUGCUUAGAUAUCACGAAGAACUCCGAUUGCGAAGGCAGCUUACUGGACUGUAACUGACGCUGAUGCUCGAAAGUGUGGGUAUCAAACA
rnacentral:rRNA from 1 species